rnacentral:rRNA from 1 species
ACAUGCAAGUCGAGCGUAACAGAUAAGCAUCACUUCGGUGUGCGCUUAUGCUGACGAGCGGCGGACGGUGAGUAAAGCGUAGGAAUCUGCUUCUAGGCGGGGACACUCGGGAAACCCGAGCUAAUACCGCAUAACGUCUACGGACCAAAGCCUUCGGGCACCUAGAGAUGAGCUACGUUGGAUUAGCUUGUUGGUGGGGUAAAGGCCUACCAAGGCGACGAUCCAUAGCUGUUCUGAGAGGAAGACCAGCCACACUGGACUGAGACACGGCCCAGACUCCUACGGGAGGCAGCAGUGGGGAAUAUUGGACAAUGGGGGCAACCCUGAUCCAGCGAUGCCGCGUGUGUGAAGAAGGCCUGAGGGUUGUAAAGCACUUUUGUUAGGGAGG